CUCUUAUGGAGAGUUUGAUCCUGGCUCAGGACGAACGCUGGCGGCAUGCCUAAUACAUGCAAGUCGAGCGAACUGUUGGAAGCUUGCUUCCAACAGUUAGCGGCGGACGGGUGAGUAACACGUGGGCAACCUACC
rnacentral:rRNA from 1 species